AAAUAUAUUAAUUAAUAGAUAACAAUGAACUAUAACUAGGGGCCUAAAUUAAAAAGCCUGUUAAGGUUUCUAGUAGGUCCCUGGCCCAAUAUUAUUAGAAAAUACUUGUAAAUAUUAAAAGCUGUACAAAAAAAAAAAAAAAAAAAAAAAACCCAAACGAGUUGACAAAUCCAAAUGCUGUUUAAUAAUUUGUUGCAUUCACACCAUGAUUCAUACAUUUACAGUUCAAUUAAAAAAUCCCAAAUCUUGUACAAACACAGUCGUAGCAUACGUGUACGCUUGUAAAGUCUUGUACGCUUGAAUUUGUUUUCAAUAAUAACACUCCAAUAUGGUAGAUCAAGGACAUAUGCCAUCAUUCCCAUCAAUACUCACUCAGAGUGAACCAAGAGUAUGAAUUAUUACCAUAACGAAGCCUGUUAUUUUGCCCAAAUGAAUUCAAGUAUGCAUAAAUCAACUCCUUAAUCCCUUCACCACUUUUUCGGACGAAAAGCAACAAAAAAUCCGUCAAAAUAAGCAAAUUUUCAGGCCAAAUAAAGCAAAAUAUAUCGUAUUCACUCAUAUUGGCCGCGCUCG